GGAGGGGAGCUAGCGUUGUUCGGAAUUACUGGGCGUAAAGCGCGUGUAGGCGGGUUUUGUAAGUUAGGAGUGAAAUCCCCGGGGCUCAACCUGGGAACUGCUCUUAAGACUGCAAAGCUUGAGGACGAGAGAGGAAAGUGGAAUUCCUAGUGUAGAGGUGAAAUUCGUAGAGAUUAGGAAGAACACCAGUGGCGAAGGCGGCUUUCUGGCUCGUAUCUGACGCUGAGACGCGAAAGCGUGGGGAGCAAACAGGAUUAGAUACCCUGGUAGUCCACGCCGUAAACGAUGAGUGCUAGAUGUUUGUAGGUUUAUCCUAUGGGUGUCGCAGCUAACGCGUUAAGCACUCCGCCUGGGGAGUACGGUCGCAAGAUUA
rnacentral:rRNA from 1 species